rnacentral:rRNA from 1 species
UACGUAGGGGGGCGAGCGUUUGUCCGGAUUUAUUGGGCGUAAGCGUCCGCAGGCGGUCAACCAAGUUCGUGGUGACAGUCUCCAGCUCAACUGGAGAAGGCCCAUGAAGACUGGUUGACUUGAGGGCUUCAGAGGGACAUGGAAUUCCGGGUGGAGUGGUGAAAUGCGUAGAGAUCCGGAGGAACACCAAAGGCGCAGGCAGUGUCCUGGGAAGUACCUGACGCUCAGG